rnacentral:rRNA from 1 species
CUACGGGUGGCACCAGUGGGGAAUAUUGCACAAUGGGCGCAAGCCUGAUGCAGCCAUGCCGCGUGUAUGAAGAAGGCCUUCGGGUUGUAAAGUACUUUCAGCGGGGAGGAAGGGAGUAAAGUUAAUACCUUUGCUCAUUGACGUUACCCGCAGAAGAAGCACCGGCUAACUCCGUGCCAGCAGCCGCGGUAAUACGGAGGGUGCAAGCGUUAAUCGUAAUUACUGGGCGUAAAGCGCACGCAGGCGGUUUGUUAAGUCAGAUGUGAAAUCCCCGGGCUCAACCUGGGAACUGCAUCAGAUACUGGCAAGCUUGAGUCUCGUAGAGGGGGGUAGAAUUCCAGGUGUAGCGGUGAAAUGCGUAGAGAUCUGGAGGAAUACUGGUGGCGAAGGCGGCCCCCUGGACGAAGACUGACGCUCAGGUGCGAAAGCGUGGGGAGCAAACAGGAUUAGAUAGCCUAGUAGUC